UUGUGUGUCACCACAGCAGGAACGUGGAAGCACAUCCCACCAGAGCUGCCCACCUGGGGCAGAAACACCACGUUGUGCAAGAGCAUCUCGAGGCUGCUGAUUUCCUCUGAGGAGCUUCUUGGCCCAAAUCUCUGCAGUGUUAGAAAUGCAAGAACAUUUUCCAGAUCAGCUCGGUCAGCACAGGGGACGCCAGCUCCUGUUUGCCCUGUGGCUGGACCAGCUUCACUCCCAUCAGACGUGCAUCGGAGUUGCCAGGAGGAGAGUGGGCUUUGCACAGCUGUGGAUGGGGCCUGGAAAAACAAAAUGCUCUCAUGCACCAGAGAGUGAUUUCUCCCUCCAGUCAGCUAACAAGGAUGGUUUCCUCCAGGAUUCCCCCUUCCUCAUGUGCCCCAAAAUGCAGACAUAUCCUGGCUAGAUAUGA